rnacentral:rRNA from 1 species
UACGUAGGGUGCGAGCGUUGUCCGGAAUUAUUGGGCGUAAAGAGCUUGUAGGCGGUUUGUCGCGUCUGCUGUGAAAAUCCGGGGCUCAACCCCGGACUUGCAGUGGGUACGGGCAGACUAGAGUGUGGUAGGGGAGACUGGAAUUCCUGGUGUAGCGGUGGAAUGCGCAGAUAUCAGGAGGAACACCGAUGGCGAAGGCAGGUCACUGGGCCGCAACUGACGCUGAGGAGCGAAAGCGUGGGGAGCGAACAGG